rnacentral:misc_RNA from 1 species
AACGCACAUUGCGCCCCUUGGUAUUCCGGGGGGCAUGCCUGUUCGAGCGUCAUUACAACCCUCAAGCUCUGCUUGGUCUUGGGCGUCACCGGUCCCCGGUGUGCCUUAAAAUUAGUGGCGGCGCCGCCUGGCCCUACGCGCAGUACAUACCCUCGCGAUAGACGCCCGGCGGACGCUGGCCAGCAACCCCCAUUUCUCAAGGUUGACCUCGGAUCAGGUAGGGAUACCCGCUGAACUUAA